rnacentral:rRNA from 1 species
GAAUUUUGGACAAUGGGCGAAAGCCUGAUCCAGCAAUGCCGCGUGAGUGAUGAAGGCCUUAGGGUUGUAAAGCUCUUUUACUGGGGAUGAUAAUGACAGUACCCAGAGAAUAAGCUCCGGCUAACCUCUUGCAGCAGCCGCGGUAAUACGGAGGGCGCUAGCGUUGUUCGGAAUUACUGGGCGUAAAGCGCGCGUAGGCGGCUUUUUAAGUCAGAGGUGAAAUCCCAGGGCUCAACCCUGGAACUGCCUUUGAAACUGGAUGGCUAGAAUACUGGAGAGGUGAGUGGAAUUCCGAGUGUAGAGGUGAAAUUCGUAGAUAUUCGGAAGAACACCAGUGGCGAAGGCGACUCACUGGACAGUUAUUGACGCUGAGGUGCGAAAGCGUGGGGAGCAAACAGG